AUUGAAUGCUGGCGGCAGGCCUAACACAUGCACGUCGAACGAGCGGCGGACGGGUGAGUAAUGUCUGGGUAACUGCCCGGUGGAGGGGGAUACCUCCUGGAAACGGUAGCUAAUACCGCCUGCCAACGGAUGUGCCCAGUUGGGAUUAGCUAGUAGGUGGGGUAACGGCUCACCUAGGCGACGAUCCCUAGCUGGUCUGAGAGGAUGACCAGCCACACUGGGAGUGCGACACGGUCCAGACUCCUAAGGGAGGCAGCAGGGGGGAUUAUUGCACUAUGGGCGCAAGCCUGAGGCAGCCAUGCCUCGUGUAUGAAGAAGGCCUUCGGGUUGUAAAGUACUUUCAGCGAGGAGGCGUUACUCGCAGAAGAAGCACCGGCUAACUCCGUGCCAGCAGCCGCGGUAAUUC
rnacentral:rRNA from 1 species